UACAAUAAAUAAUUGGAUAAGUGUUAUUCAUGUUUAUGAUAAAACGUAAAAAAUAUAUUUAAGAACAUCAGAAGGUAUUAUAAAUUAUAACUUUUGUUGAAGAACUUAAUAAUAGAGGUUUAACUUUAAAGCCUUUAUUUUACGUACGUUCUAGAGUCUAGAAUACUACUACUAGUACCUACUGAAGACGUCCACUGCUGGAUAAAAGCCUCCCCCUAUCAAUCACAUGUAAAUUGUAGUGUAAUACUAAUCUCUGAAAUGGCUGGACCCAUUUUGACGGGACUUUUAUUGGCAGGUAGCUGAUGCAAUAAGGAGUAACUUAGGCUACGUUUAUUUUAGAAAAGACUUUUAUUUCAGAAAAGUAAAGUAUUGUUGCAACAUCCAAGAAAC